GGAUAAAUGGCCGAGUCAGUUUAAGGCGCCACGUUAAGGCCAUAGUUUCUUAGGAGGCAUGAGUUCAAAUCUCGCUCUGUUCA